GACGAACGCUGGCGGCGUGCUUAACACAUGCAAGUCGAACGGAAAGGCCCUGCUUUUGUGGGGUGCUCGAGUGGCGAACGGGUGAGUAACACGUGAGUAACCUGCCCUUGACUUUGGGAUAACUUCAGGAAACUGGGGCUAAUACCGGAUAGGAGCUCCUGCUGCAUGGUGGGGGUUGGAAAGUUUCGGCGGUUGGGGAUGGACUCGCGGCUUAUCAGCUUGUUGGUGGGGUAGUGGCUUACCAAGGCUUUGACGGGUAGCCGGCCUGAGAGGGUGACCGGCCACAUUGGGACUGAGAUACGGCCCAGACUCCUACGGGAGGCAGCAGUGGGGAAGAGUGCACAAUGGGCGGAAGCCUGAUGCAGCAACGCCGCGUGCGGGAUGACGGCCUUCGGGUUGUAAUCCGCUUUCGCCUGUGACGAAGCGUGAGUGACGGUAAUGGGUAAAGAAGCACCGGCUAACUACGUG
rnacentral:rRNA from 1 species